CCUACGGGUGGCAGCAGUGAGGAAUAUUGGUCAAUGGUCGGGAGACUGAACCAGCCAAGCCGCGUGAGGGAGGAAGGUACAGAGUAUCGUAAACCUCUUUUGUCAGGGCACAAAGGCUGGGACGCGUCCCCGGCUGAGGGUACCUGAAGAAAAAGCAUCGGCUAACUCCGUGCCAGCAGCCGCGGUAAUACGGAGGAUGCGAGCGUUAUCCGGAUUUAUUGGGGUUAAAGGGUGCGCAGGCGGUCUGUUAAGUCAGCGGUCAAAGCCCGGGGCUCAACCCCGCCCCGCCGUUGAAACUGGGAGUCUUGAGUGGGAGAGAGGUAUGCGGAAUGCGCGGUGUAGCGGUGAAAUGCAUAGAUAUCGCGCAGAACCCCGAUUGCGAAGGCAGCAUGCCGGCUCCACACUGACGCUGAGGCACGAAAGCGUGGGUAUCGAACAGGAUUAGAUACCCCAGUAGUC
rnacentral:rRNA from 1 species